rnacentral:rRNA from 1 species
AUGGUUCUGAUUUGAAAGAUGGUUUCGGCUAUCCACUUUUGGAUGGACCGCGGCGUAUUAGUUAGUUGGUGAAGGUAAAGGCUCACCAAGACGAUGAUACGUAGCCGAACUGAGAGGGUUGAUCGGCCACAAAUGGGACUGAGACACGGCCCAUACUCCUACGGGAGGCAGCAGUAGGGAAUCUUCCACAAUGGGCGGAAAGCCUGAUGGAGCAACCCCGCGUGAGUGAAGAAGGGUUUCGGCUCGUAAAACUCUGUUGUUGGAGAAGAACGUAUGUGAUAGUAACCGAUCAUGUAGUGACGGUAUCCAACCAGAAAGCCACGGCUAACUACGUGCCAGCAGCCGCGGUAAUACGUAGGUGGCAAGCGUUAUCCGGAAAUAUUGGGCGUAAAGCGAGCGCAGGCGGUUUUUUAAGUCUGAUGUGAAAGCCCUUGGCUCAACCAAGGAAGUGCAUCGGAAACUGGAAAACUUGAGUGCAGAAGAGGACAGUGGAACUCCAUGUGUAGCGGUGAAAUGCGUAGAUAUAUGGAAGAACACCAGUGGCGAAGGCGGCUGUCUGGUCUGUAACUGACGCUGAGGCUCGAAAGCAUGGGUAGCGAACAGGAUUAGAUAACCUGGUAGUCCAUGCCGUAAACGAUGAAUGCUAGGUGUUGGAGGGUUUCCGCCCUUCAGUGCCGGUUCUAACGCAUUAAGCAUUCCGCCUGGGGAGUACG